GACGAACGCUGGCGGCGUGCCUAAUACAUGCAAGUAGAACGCUGAAGAGAGGAGCUUGCUCUUCUUGGAUGAGUUGCGAACGGGUGAGUAACGCGUAGGUAACCUGCCUUGUAGCGGGGGAUAACUAUUGGAAACGAUAGCUAAUACCGCAUAACAAUGGAUGACACAUGUCAUUUAUUUGAAAGGGGCAAUUGCUCCACUACAAGAUGGACCUGCGUUGUAUUAGCUAGUAGGUGAGGUAAUGGCUCACCUAGGCGACGAUACAUAGCCGACCUGAGAGGGUGAUCGGCCACACUGGGACUGAGACACGGCCCAGACUCCUACGGGAGGCAGCAGUAGGGAAUCUUCGGCAAUGGGGGCAACCCUGACCGAGCAACGCCGCGUGAGUGAAGAAGGUUUUCGGAUCGUAAAGCUCUGUUGUAGGUCAAGAACGGGUGUGAGAGUGGAAAGUUCACACUGUGACGGUAGCUUACCAGAAAGGGACGGCUAACUACGUG
rnacentral:rRNA from 1 species